CCUACAUGAAGCUGGAGUUACUAGUAAUCGCAGAUCAGAAUGCUGCGGUGAAUGCGUUCCCGGGUCUUGUACACACCGCCCGUCACACCACGGAAGUUGGGGGCGCCCGAAGCCACUUAGCUAACCCUUUUGGGAAGCGAGUGUCGAAGGUGAAAUCAGUAACUGGGGUGAAGUCGUAACAAGGUAUC
rnacentral:rRNA from 1 species